rnacentral:tRNA from 1 species
GAGGAUAUUGCUCAGUGGUAGAGUUCCUGCUUGGCAUGCACAAGGUCCUGGGUUCAAUUCCCUAUAACCCUC